AAAUUUCCUUUCUCACCUCACCUUCUAUUUCGCCAGCCCUCUCUCUUCUAUAUAUAUAUAAAUAUUCAACUUUUAUUAGUAUUUCACCUCAUAAUACUCCAAAGCCCUGUCCCGUUUUAAGUAUUGUAACCCUGGUCACUGAUGCCCUGUCCGACUGACGUAGGGCCCUGUAACGUAUGUUAAGGCUCUGCCUAAAUUCGUUGGGGUUCUGUCUCGUGACGUAGGGAUAAAGUAGAAUUGGGUUACCAUACUUAAUGUGAAUACACUAUAUAGUUUUUUAAAAUAACCCAGGAGUCUUACCCAAAACAUAGCAACCCUCCUAAAACACCCCUGACACCCCUACACUUCCUAAAAUACACCCCAUAUGUGAAAACCGAGCCCGAAAUAUAAUAUAACAAUAAAAAUAAAUGAAAAACAAGAAAUAGUAAGUUGAGGCGGGUCGUGUAGACCCACCCCAACCUUUACGCGGGCGGUAUGAAGAUUGAUACCGGAUUCCUUUGAUUUUCUUAAGUUCAAGCGGGCCGCGUAAGCUACCCGUUAAGUUAACGUGGGCCGCGAGGGACUAAAAAGGUGGCAUAGCCCGGUGCGGCCACGUGUCCCAACACCCGGCUAAGCUAGUUGUCGACUCAGCACAGCUACGCGUUGACCCAACUUUGACGCGGGCCGCGUAAGCUUUGUGCUUAUGUUACGCGGGCCGCGAGAGACCCAGAUUCAGGCACUAUAUAAAGGAGGCAUCGGCUGUCUAUUUCAAUUCGUUCACAAUUCAUUCUCACUGUCAAAAUUCUGAAUUAGAGUUACUAUACUCGGGUAUUAUACCCCUAAUUAGCGAAGCUCUGCCUCGUUGUAAGUAUCAUAACCCCUGGAUACGUAUUAGAUACUCUGCCCGAUUGAUCUAGGGUUCCGUAACGGCUGUCGUGGUUCUGCCUGACGUAGUCGUUGGAAUGCCGUCUCGGGGAGGGUAUUACUAAUGUUAAAAUGGGUUAUUAUACUAACGCGUGUGCAUUGUUUAUUCAACUAGAUUAUAACCAGGAAGCCACAAAGGAAAUACCUAAAAUAGCAAUGUAACACAAUGUGAAAGUCAAUUAGAAUAAAGCCAGCUCGAGAGCACUGACGGCUUGGAAAAAUGUGGGUAUAAAAGUUACCUAAAAGGCGAUGUUUUAAAUUUAAUAAAAUAAGGGUUAUCCCUAUAAACAUGUUGUAAUAAGAAUCUUGGGUUUUACCCGUGUGAUUAUAAAAAUAAAAUAUGGUGGUUUUACU
rnacentral:lncRNA from 1 species